CUCAGAUCAUGUAAUUAAUCGAUUUGCUAUCUUGGUUAUUCAGUCAACAUUUUGGAAGAACGCGAGAGAGAACCUUUGUUGGCGCAUUAUUGGCAGGAGCACAGAAUAUUUUGGGCUGGGUCCACUUCCCAUUCGCUUGGCACGUGACAUAAUGAGGGCUUCCACUCAGCUCCCAAUUCUGGUAAUGGGCACAUGAGGCAGUACAGUUGCUACCAUAGCUGUACUGGGUGGAGAACGUGUGUGGUGGUGGACAGAACUGUACACGUGGCAUGCUACACUGGAGCGGGUAACACGUCACUCCGUCAGCACCAAGAUUAUUUCAAAUGAAGAUUUUCAUCCUGGGAUGAUUUACCGGAGACGACGUUUUAGGGGGCAAUGACUUUUCCUAUGUUUAUGGUGUAAAUUGAUUGACACUUCAGUCAAGGGUAAACUCCUGAUUCUAACUCAAAUCGAUAAGAAGAGGGCAAAGGAUUAAGAAAAUAUUGACACAGAAACAGUUAACAAAAUUCAAGGAGGUAAGACCAGGUGUUUCGGAAGAUUAAGCGGCUUCUACUUCUUCGAGGACACCCGCCAUCGAAAUCUAUAGGUCAAUUCCAUAUUUCGUGACAUCAUUGACAAUAAAAACCAGCUACGGUCGUGUUAACAGAACCACCAGGCAUUUAAUGUGGCUAAACUUUUCUUGUAAAUAUUUUUUCUCAAAAUUUAGGAGCUACGUCAUAGGAAAGCUCUGGAAAGUUAGCAAUCGCUGUAUGGUAAAUCAUAAUCUAACAGCCUGCUACAGCUAGUUAGGAAGUUUGCGUUUUUAGAGUUCGAAAGAUUAAGAUUGUGUAUAAUCGUCUACUAUGCUCUGGCAACAGUUUCUUCUGUCCUCUACCUGUUACCUUCGUUGCCCCAAGAGAUGUGGACAGCACACAUUUAGAAGGCUUUAUGACUGACACCUGAUAUACUGUACCUAAAAAAAGGUUAUGGGUCAAUCUUUUUAUCGAGGGAAAUAAGAAUCAUAGGGGCAAUUCUGAGAAAGACGGAGGAUAAUUAAAUGUUUGACUUCUAA